rnacentral:rRNA from 1 species
UGGGGAAUAUUGCACAAUGGGCGCAAGCCUGAUGCAGCCAUGCCUCGUGUAUGAAGAAGGCCUUCGGGUUGUAAAGUACUUUCAGCGGGGAGGAAGGGAGUAAAGUUAAUACCUUUGCUCAUUGACGUUACCCGUAGAAGAAGCACCGGCUAACUCCGUGCCAGCAGCCGCGUUAAUACGGAGGUUGCAAGCGUUAAUCGGAAUUACUGGGCGUAAAGCGCACGCAGGCGGUUUGUUAAGUCAGAUGUGAAAUCCCCGGGCUCAACCUGGGAACUGCAUCUGAUACUGGCAAGCUUGAGUCUCGUAGAGGGGGGUAGAAUUCCAUGUGUAGCGGUGAAAUGCGUAGAGAUGUGGAGGAAUACCGGUGGCGAAGGCGGACCCCUGGACAAAGAAUAACGCACAGGUGCGAAAGCGGGGGGAGCAAACAGG